CCAUCGCGCCCGCAGCCCCACCUCGUCCCGCGAGUUCUCCGGCCGGCACCCUCGAAGGCUGGCUAUGCUUCGAGGUGGACACCGGGGCCGGCGUCGUAGAGCUGGUUGAAGGAGUGUCCCAGAUCUUCUUCGACGAUUCGCUCACGUUUCUAGGGACGUGCAUGAAGGAAGGAGC